AGUGAACGCUGGCGGCAGGCCUAACACAUGCAAGUCGAGCGGCAGCGGGUUCCCGCGAGGGGAUGCCGGCGAGCGGCGGACGGGUGAGGAACACAUCGGAAUCUGCCUGGUUGUGGGGGAUAACGUAGGGAAACUUACGCUAAUACCGCAUGCGACCCUGAGUCGACGGACUGGGGGUGAAAGUGAGGGACCUUCGGGCCUCACGCGACCAGAUGAGCCGAUGUCGGAUUAGCUAGUUGGCGGGGUAACGGCCCGCCAAGGCGACGAUCCGUAGCUGGUCUGAGAGGAUGAUCAGCCACACUGGGACUGAGACACGGCCCAGACUCCUACGGGAGGCAGCAGUGGGGAAUCUUGGACAAUGGGCGCAAGCCUGAUCCAGCCAUGCCGCGUGGGUGAAG
rnacentral:rRNA from 1 species